GAUGAACGCUGGCGGCGUGCCUAAUACAUGCAAGUCGAGCGAACGGACGAGAAGCUUGCUUCUCUGAUGUUAGCGGCGGACGGGUGAGUAACACGUGGAUAACCUACCUAUAAGACUGGGAUAACUUCGGGAAACCGGAGCUAAUACCGGAUAAUAUUUUGAACCGCAUGGUUCAAAAGUGAAAGACGGUCUUGCUGUCACUUAUAGAUGGAUCCGCGCUGCAUUAGCUAGUUGGUAAGGUAACGGCUUACCAAGGCAACGAUGCAUAGCCGACCUGAGAGGGUGAUCGGCCACACUGGAACUGAGACACGGUCCAGACUCCUACGGGAGGCAGCAGUAGGGAAUCUUCCGCAAUGGGCGAAAGCCUGACGGAGCAACGCCGCGUGAGUGAUGAAGGUCUUCGGAUCGUAAAACUCUGUUAUUAGGGAAGAACAUAUGUGUAAGUAACUGUGCACAUCUUGACGGUACCUAAUCAGAAAGCCACGGCUAACUACGUGCCAGCAGCCGCGGUAAUACGUAGGUGGCAAGCGUUAUCCGGAAUUAUUGGGCGUNAAGCGCGCGUGGCGGUUUUUUAGUCUGAUGUGAAAGCCCACGGCUCAACCGUGGAGGGUCAUUGGAAACUGGAAAACUUGAGUGCAGAAGAGGAAAGUGGAAUUCCAUGUGUAGCGGUGAAAUGCGCAGAGAUAUGGAGGAACACCAGUGGCGAAGGCGACUUUCUGGUCUGUAACUGACGCUGAUGUGCGAAAGCGUGGGGAUCAAACAGGAUUAGAUACCCUGGUAGUCCACGCCGUAAACGAUGAGUGCUAAGUGUUAGGGGGUUUCCGCCCCUUAGUGCUGCAGCUAACGCAUUAAGCACUCCGCCUGGGGAGUACGACCGCAAGGUUGAAACUCAAAGGAAUUGACGGGGACCCGCACAAGCGGUGGAGCAUGUGGUUUAAUUCGAAGCAACGCGAAGAACCUUACCAAAUCUUGACAUCCUUUGACAACUCUAGAGAUAGAGCCUUCCCCUUCGGGGGACAAAGUGACAGGUGGUGCAUGGUUGUCGUCAGCUCGUGUCGUGAGAUGUUGGGUUAAGUCCCGCAACGAGCGCAACCCUUAAGCUUAGUUGCCAUCAUUAAGUUGGGCACUCUAAGUUGACUGCCGGUGACAAACCGGAGGAAGGUGGGGAUGACGUCAAAUCAUCAUGCCCCUUAUGAUUUGGGCUACACACGUGCUACAAUGGACAAUACAAAGGGCAGCGAAACCGCGAGGUCAAGCAAAUCCCAUAAAGUUGUUCUCAGUUCGGAUUGUAGUCUGCAACUCGACUACAUGAAGCUGGAAUCGCUAGUAAUCGUAGAUCAGCAUGCUACGGUGAAUACGUUCCCGGGUCU
rnacentral:rRNA from 1 species